rnacentral:lncRNA from 1 species
UUUAGAUUUCAGACUCUUCUCCUAGCCAAUUUCUUUUCCUUUUAGCAACUUCUAACAUUCUGGGUCUUUAUCGAUGAAAUGGCAGGAAUUCAGUUAGAACUGAAUAAUCUUUUCUCCUAAGUUGCUUUUCUACUCAAGACGUUGACUUCUGAGGGACUGUGUCAUCAGAGCAUUUUCUCAUUGGGAGGUUUAUUGUCCCACAAAUGGAUUAUUUGAAGGGCGAUCUUUUAGCUAAGGUAUAAAAAUGGAGUCACGAGAAAAACUUCUCACCUUCACUCACCUUCCUCAAUUGGAUGUGAGGUCAGCAGAUGCAUGUCAGGGAUCAAUCAUGGCUGUGAGGAAGGUGCAGGAGACAUCAGGAAUGAGUCAUCAAGAAAAGCUGCUGUGGGGUUUCCAAAUUUCUACAAAUGGUUAUUGGAACCCAGAGCCAAGGAAGAGAGGACAACAACUUGCUUCCCAGGAGCUCCAGUCAGAAUGGAUUAUUACAAAUUUAGAGAUGGAAGAGACUUUACAGUUUAGGGAUUGCCAGAAAGUCCACUGCAGCCACCCUGCAACAGAUACAGAGUUUUCUCUGUUUGAAUGCACACAAGAGUUUUCAUCACAAUGGAAUGCUUAUGGAGUUACAUAUUUCAAGGACAUUAACACCAAAACGCAGCUUAAUUGGGAGUCCAGUCAUGGUGAUGAAUGGCAAUGUCAAAGUGAUUAG